rnacentral:rRNA from 1 species
CUACGGGAGGCUCCAGUGGGGAAUCUUGCGCAAUGGAGGCAACUCUGACGCAGCCAUGCCGCGUGCAGGAAGAAGGCCUUAUGGGUCGUAAACUGCUUUUAUUUAGGAAUAAACCCCCGAACGUGUUCGGGGCUGAAGGUACUAAACGAAUAAGCACCGGCUAACUCCGUGCCAGCAGCCGCGGUAAUACGGAGGGUGCAAGCGUUAUCCGGAUGUAUUGGGUUUAAAGGGUGCGCAGGCGGGCUAUUAAGUCAGUGGUGAAAUCCCGGGGCUCAACUCCGGAACUGCCAUUGAUACUGAUAGUCUUGAGUUUGGUUGAAGUGGGCGGAAUGUAGCAUGUAGCGGUGAAAUGCAUAGAUAUGCUACAGAACACCAAUCGCGAAGGCAGCUCACUAAGCCAAAACUGACGCUCAUGCACGAAAGCGUGGGGAUCAAACAGGAUUAGAUACCCCCGUAGUC